rnacentral:rRNA from 1 species
GAGUUUGAUCGUGGCUCAGAUUGAACGCUGGCGGCAUGCCUUACACAUGCAAGUCGAACGGCAGCAUGAUCUAGCUUGCUAGAUUGAUGGCGAGUAGCGAACGGGUGAGUAAUACAUCGGAACGUGCCCUGUAGUGGGGGAUAACUAGUCGAAAGAUUAGCUAAUACCGCAUACGACCUGAGGGUGAAAGUGGGGGACCGCAAGGCCUCAUGCUAUAGGAGCGGCCGAUGUCUGAUUAGCUAGUUGGUGGGGUAAAGGCCCACCAAGGCGACGAUCAGUAGCUGGUCUGAGAGGACGAUCAGCCACACUGGGACUGAGACACGGCCCAGACUCCUACGGGAGGCAGCAGUGGGGAAUUUUGGACAAUGGGCGAAAGCCUGAUCCAGCAAUGCCGCGUGUGUGAAGAAGGCCUCGG